GCUUCAUACCAAUCUUCUUCGGCAGUUUCUGGGUUUUUUCAAUAUGAAUGCUGAGUCUCAGCAGCACUCAGUCCAUGAAAGAGCAGAAAUUCGAGAGCUACUUUGGCCGCAACAUUGCCAUCGAUGCCAGCAUGAGCAUUUAUCAGUUCCUCGUAUGGAUUCUACUACUCCUUUCUUUAUACUGGCUCUGUAUUUUGGCUAAAGAAGCUUUCUUUCCGAUGUGGGUGUGUGUGAACUGGUGUAGAUUGUUGUGGGAAGAACUGGGACUGAGAUGCUCACUAAUGAGGCUGGUGAAGUUACUAGUCAUCUCCAAGGCAUGUUUUCGCGGACUAUUAGGCUUCUGGAAGCUGGAAUUAAGCCGGUCUAUGUUUUCGAUGGGAAGCCUCCAGAAUUGAAAAGCC